ACCAGGGUGAAACUCAAGACGGACAUUACGCUUCUCUUCUUCCUGAUGAAUCCAGCCUCCCGUAUUCUGUGGUUGAGCUCAAACACCUUAAAAAGAAGGAGAAGCACGAUGAACCAGACGAGAGCCCCGUUUACUCGGAUGUGAGGAUCCCAUCAGCUGCAGGAAAAUCCAGAUGUGCAGCAGAAGAGGAAACUCUUUAUUCUGAAGUCAAACCAGGAACAUCUGAUCAAUAAAGACGUCCGUGUGGACAAAACCACCGACAUGAAAAACAAUCUCUUCAGGAUAUAAGAUGUGUCCUUAAACAGCUACAGAGCAGACAGCUUGGUGUUCUGUGGAAGCCUCUUCCCUUGUUGUAGUCGGCUUUGGAUGGAUGAGGUUCUGGUUAAAAAGGAUCAUGUGAUCUUUGCAGGUUUCUUCAUCGUAUCCAGAGAGGUAGAGUCCAAAAAAAGAGCGUUGAUCUUUCUUUCCCCGAUACGUUAGCGUAGCAUAGAGCCGUGAUACUUCCCCCGGGGACACGAGAACCCUUCAUCUCAUGGAGCCAUUUGAUUAUCUGACAAACAGUUUUAGGUUUGUGAGGUUGUUUUUGUUGCUGCUUAUUAUAUAUUAUAAUUACAGUCUGCUGAGUGCUACUGAAAUUCAUUUUAAAUGUUAGAUAUAGUCUGAAGUAGCAUAAAGUCUUUUGCUUGCAUCCUUAAAUCCCUAUAAUACUUUUUUUCCAGUAAAAGUGGAUCAAUAGAAUCUCA